rnacentral:rRNA from 1 species
ACGAACGCUGGCGGCAUGCCUAACACAUGCAAGUCGAACGCGACCUUCGGGUCUAGUGGCGCACGGGUGCGUAACGCGUGGGAAUCUGCCCUUCGGUUGGGAAUAACUGAGAGAAAUUUCAGCUAAUACCUUAUAAUGUCUUCGGACCAAAGAUUUAUCGCCGAGGGAUGAGCCCGCGUAGGAUUAGGUAGUUGGUGGGGUAAUGGCCUACCAAGCCGACGAUCCUUAGCUGGUCUGAGAGGAUGAUCAGCCACACUGGGACUGAGACACGGCCCAGACUCCUACGGGAGGCAGCAGUGGGGAAUAUUGGACAAUGGGCGAAAGCCUGAUCCAGCAAUGCCGCGUGAGUGAUGAAGGCCUUAGGGUUGUAAAGCUCUUUUACCCGGGAUGAUAAUGACAGUACCGGGAGAAUAAGCGCCGGCUAACUCCGUG